rnacentral:rRNA from 1 species
CCUACGGGUGGCUGCAGUGGGGAAUAUUGGUCAAUGGGCGCAAGCCUGACCCAGCAACGCCGCGUGCAGGAAGAAGGCUUUCUGGUUGUAAACUUGUUUUUUCAGGGACGAAGUAAUUGACGGUACCUGACGAAUAAGCCACGGCUAACUACGUGCCACCAGCCGCGGUAAUACGUAGGUGGCAAGCGUUAUCCGGAUUUACUGGGUGUAAAGGUCGUGUAGGCGGGACUGCAAGUCAGAUGUUAAAACCACGGGCUCAACCUCUGGCCUGCCUUUGAAACUGUAGUUCUUGAGUGCUGAUGCAGCAGACGGAAUUACUAGUGUAGCGGUGAAAUGCGUAGAUAUUA